UGAGGAAUAUUGGACAAUGGUCGCAAGACUGAUCCAGCCAUGCCGCGUGCAGGAAGACGGCCCUAUGGGUUGUAAACUGCUUUUGUACCAGAGAAAACCUAUCUACGUGUAGAUAGCUGAUAGUAUGGUAAGAAUAAGCAUCGGCUAACUUCGUGCCAGCAGCCGCGGUAAGACGAAGGAUGCAAGCGUUAUCCGGAUUCAUUGGGUUUAAAGGGUGCGUAGGCGGGCUUGUAAGUCAGUGGUGAAAUCUCUCAGCUUAACUGAGAAACUGCCAUUGAUACUGCAGGCCUAGAGUAUAGAUGACGUUGGCGGAAUAUGACAUGUAGUGGUGAAAUACUUAGAUAUGUCAUAGAACACCGAUUGCGAAGGCAGCUAACGAAACUAUAACUGACGCUGAGGCACGAAAGUGCGGGGAUCAAACA
rnacentral:rRNA from 1 species